GCAGCCGCCGCGGUAAUACGUAGGUGGCAAGCGUUGUCCGGAAUUAUUGGGCGUAAAGCGCGCGCAGGUGGUUUAAUAAGUCUGAUGUGAAAGCCCACGGCUCAACCGUGGAGGGUCAUUGGAAACUGUUAAACUUGAGUGCAGGAGAGAAAAGUGGAAUUCCUAGUGUAGCGGUGAAAUGCGUAGAGAUUAGGAGGAACACCAGUGGCGAAGGCGGCUUUUUGGCCUGUAACUGACACUGAGGCGCGAAAGCGUGGGGAGCAAACAGGAUUAGAUACCCCUGUAGUCCCUGUCUCUUAUAA
rnacentral:rRNA from 1 species